rnacentral:rRNA from 1 species
UACAGGGGGGGCAAGCGUUGUUCGGAAUUACUGGGCGUAAAGGGCUCGUAGGUGGCCAACUAAGUCAGACGUGAAAUCCCUCAGCUUAACUGGGGAACUGCGUCUGAUACUGGAUGGCUUGGAUUCGGGAGAGGAAUGCGGAAUUCCAGGUGUAGCGGUGAAAUGCGUAGAUAUCUGGAGGAACACCGGUGGCGAAGGCGGCAUCCUGGACCGGUAUUGACGCUGAGGCGCGAAAGCCAGGGGAGCAAACGGG